CUGCUGCCUUCCGUAGGAGUCUGGGCCGUGUCUCAGUCCCAGUGUGGCUGGUCGUCCUCUCAGACCAGCUACUGAUCGUUGCUUUGGUGAGCCGUUACCUCACCAACCGGCUAAUCAGUCAUCGGCCGCUCCGCUCGCGAGAGGCCCUUGCGGGUCCCCCUCUUUCUUCCGUAGAACUCAUGCGGUAUUAGCCAACCUUUCGGCUGGGUUGUCCCCCCACGAGCGGACACGUUCCGAUGUAUUACUCACCCGUUCG
rnacentral:rRNA from 1 species